AUUGAACGCUGGCGGCAUGCCUUACACAUGCAAGUCGAACGGCAGCGGGGGAGCUUGCUCCUGCCGGCGAGUGGCGAACGGGUGAGUAAUGCAUCGGAACGUGUCCUGUUGUGGGGGAUAACUGAUCGAAAGAUCAGCUAAUACCGCAUGAGACCUGAGGGUGAAAGCGGGGGAUCGAAAGACCUCGCGCGACAGGAGCGGCCGAUGUCUGAUUAGCUAGUUGGUGAGAUAAAAGCUUACCAAGGCGACGAUCAGUAGCUGGUCUGAGAGGAUGAUCAGCCACAUUGGGACUGAGACACGGCCCAGACUCCUACGGGAGGCAGCAGUGGGGAAUUUUGGACAAUGGGGGAAACCCUGAUCCAGCCAUGCCGCGUGCGGGAUGAAGGCCUUCGGGUUGUAAACCGCUUUUGUCAGAGACGAAAAGGGACGCACGAAUAAUACGUUCCGCUGACGGUAUCUGAAGAAUAAGCACCGGCUAACUACGUG
rnacentral:rRNA from 1 species